rnacentral:misc_RNA from 1 species
GAUGAAGAACGUAGCGAAAUGCGAUAAGUAAUGUGAAUUGCAGAAUUCAGUGAAUCAUCGAAUCUUUGAACGCACAUUGCGCCCGCCAGUAUUCUGGCGGGCAUGCCUGUUCGAGCGUCAUUUCAACCAUCAAGCCCUGCUUGCGUUGGGGUCCUGCGGCUGCCCGCAGGCCCUGAAAACCAGUGGCGGGCUCGCUAGUCACACCGAGCGCAGUAAUACAUCUCGCUUUGGGCGUGCGGCGGGUUCUUGCCGUUAAACACCCCCUUUUUACCAAGGUUGACCUCGGAUCAGGUAGGAAUACCCACUGAACUUAAGCAUAUCAAUAAGCGGAGGA